UAGAAAAUUCUCUUAAAAUCACAAUAAAACUAAAAAUAUAUACAUAUAUAUAUUUUUAAAAACGUAAGCAGUGGAAUCCAAUUAUGAUUCUAAUAAGGUAUAGUUUUAGGAUUUGUCUUAAAUCCUUAGUUGUAGAUGUUUAUAUUAAAAAGUGUAAAGUACUUCAUUCAUUGAUGAAUACUUAUUGAGCAUAUGCUAUAUGCUAGGUAAUAUUAGACUCCAAUGGAGGGGAGUAGGAAUACCAAGAUGGAUAAGACCUUCUUUUCCUUAGACACUCAGUGGGGAUUGGAGGAGGUAGAUCUGUAAAAAUAAUACAUUUUAGCAUGACAGAGACUUUAAGAGAGAGAUGAAAAAUAGAGAGGUUUUGAAUAGAAAAGGUAAUACUAGAUCACUUGGGUAAACUGUGAAAGGUACAUAAAGAAUUGACAUUUGGGCCCAACCGGUGUAGCUCAGUGGUUGAACAUUGAGCCAGGAACCAAGAGGCCACUGGUUUGAUUCCCAGUCAGGGCACGUGCCCAAGUUAUGGGCUUGGUCCCUGUGGAGGGCGUGCAGGAGGCAGCUAAUCAAUGUUUCUCUCUCAUCGAUGUUUUUAUCUAUCCCUCUCCCUUCCUCUCUAUCUCAAAAAGUCAAAAUAUAUUAUUUUAAAAAAGUGACAUUUGGGAUGGACUUUGAAUGAUGAAUGAAUAUAACCCUGUAAGCUGAGAAUUGGAGAAAGCAUAGGGAACUACAAGAACAAAGGCCCAGAGUUAGGAAAGGCCUUAGACCAGCGGUUCUCAACCUGUGGGUCGUGACCCCUUUGGCGGUCGAAUGACCCUUUCACAGGGGUUGCCUAAGACCAUCCUGCAUAUCAAAUAUUUACAUUACGAUUCAUAACAGUAGCAACAUUAUAGUUAUGAAGUAGCAACGAAAGUAAUUUUAUGGUUGGGUCACAACAUGAGGAACUGUAUGUAAAGGGCCAGAAGGUUGAGAACCACUGCCUUAGAGGAAAUAUUCAUGAAACUGAAAAAUUCUGCAUCUAAGAAGUACCGAGGUCUGUUUAUGUGAAAAUAAGUUAGAAUUUUAUCCUGUAGACCAGGGGUUGCAGACAAGUCAAACCUGGUUAGUAGUCUGUUUUUAUAAGGCCCACAAGCAAAGAAUGAUAUUCGCAUUUUUAUUUAUUUCCUUUGUAUUGAAUGUAUUGGGGUUACACUAGUUAAUAAAAUUAUAGAGGUUUCAGGGGCACAAUUCCACAACACAUUAUCUGUACACUGUGUUGUAUGUUCACCACCCCAAGUGAAGUCUCUGUCCAUCACCAUUUAUCCACCCUAUACCUUUACACCUUUCCCACCCCCUCCCUCUCCUGGCAAUCACACUGUUGGAUUUUUUUCAUUUUUGCUCAAUCCCUCCACCCUCCACUAGUUUCCUAACUGCCCCCUCCCCCACAACUGUCAGCCUGCUCUCUAUCUGAGUUUGUCUCUAUUUUUCUUAUCAUUCACAUUUUUAAAAUAUUGUUUUUAAAAAAGUAUCUCACCUGUCCAGGUGGCUCGGUUGGAGCAUUGUCCCAAAUACCAGAAGGUUGUGGGUUUGAUUCCUGGUCAGAGCACAUACCUAGAUUUCGGGUUUGAUGUCUGGUUGGAUGUGUACGAGAGGUAACCAAUCGAUUCCCCCCCCCCCCCCCCCCCGUCUCUCUAAAGUCAAGAAAAACAUCCUCAGUGAGGAUUUUUUUUUUUUAAUAUCUCAUCAUAUAGAGAUCUAUAAAUCUGUUCCUAACAGCUAGUCUUCUGUCUUACUUUCUCUGAAACUAUGAACCUGUUCUUUAUCUUAUAUGUGAACGCUUUCCCCUUUCUUUCUUGGUUUUCUUUUAUUCCCUGCAAGAACAAAGGCCCCAAAUUAGGAAAGGCCUUAGUUCAGUGGUUCUCAACUUGUGGGUCGUGACCCCUUUGGUGGUCGAACGACCCUUUCACAGAGGUCACCUAAGACCAUCCUGCAUAUCAGAUAUUUACAUUAUGAUUCAUAACAGUAGCAACAUUACAGUUAUGAAGUAGCAACGAAAGUAAUUUUAUGGUUGGGUCACAGCAUGAGGAACUGUAUUUAAAGGGCCAGAAGGUUGAGAACCACUGCUUUAGUUAGACUGAAUAUUCAGGAAACUGAAAGAUUCUGCACACAAUUGUGUGUUCACCACCCCAACACAUAAUCUGUAUACUGUAUUGUGUGUUUACCACCACCAUUAAUUUGUGGGCUGCCAGGUAUUGCUGAAAAACAGUACUAAUGUUCUGUUCUCAAAAUCAUUACUGUCUAACUUUGACCGUAUCCUUAUUUCUACUUAAAAAACUUUUGAGUCACUUCUUUCUGACUUUGACAAACACCUACAGAGGCUAUUCCAAAUUCUAAAAGCCCGUUUUCCAUCUUGUCAUUCUCUUCAAUAGAUGCUAUCUCUUUGUUUCCUAAGACUGAUAAAUUCAGUCAUUCCACGAAUUAAACAUCUGUAUUGUUUUAUAGGACACAAAAAGUCAGACCCUUAAGAACAGUUUACUCCAAUGCAGAAGUAAGGUUGGUUAAUAACACUAACAUAAUUCCACAUGAAAAUCUAUUUUCAACUUAGUAAUGGGUAAUCCUUGCUUGCCCUUGAAGUACUUGUUUCUUCUUUUCUGGCAUUGAUUUAAUGUUUUCCUGUUUUGCCUUGACUAUCAAAGUUUAUGUACAGCCCAAGCAACCAUGUUAAUGUAUAUGGUUAGCAUAUUUGCUUUCUUUUUUUUAUUGACUAUGUAUGAUUUUUCCCCUUAUUUUUUAAGCCAUUUCAGAUCAUUUUUUACAUUAUUUUUUUUAUUAUUGUAACUUUAAAGUAUUACGAAUAGUAGUACAUAUGUCUCCUUUUUUUCCCCAUUGACCUUCCUCCCAGCCUCCCCUAUCCCCCGGCUCAGAUAAUAUUUUGAUAGAAAGAAUGACAUUAAUAUAUUUAGACAAAUAUAUAUCUUAAACCCUUUGUAGAACAAAAUUGGGUAUGUAUGUUAAUUAAACGAUUAAUAUUAAUGAUUUAAUAAAACCACAGGACAGUGCAGUAUGGUAGAAAGGGAAGUCUUUGAAAUCAAACAAACCUAGUAAUACAAGAUAUAGCUUCUGCAGUUUAUCAGCUGUGUUACAUUGGGAUGAAAUUAUCUGUCUUUCAUGGACUGUUAAUAGGAAAAUUAGCAAUUAUGAAUCAAAAUGUUUAGCAGAGCAUGAACAUAGUACACGUUUAAUAUAUAAUUAUUUUUGUACAAGGUAGAAAAUGGUAAGUCUAAAAGAAUAUACUUGGUAAAGUGUGAUAGUAAUUAACAUGAAUCGAGAUUAGAGAUGGCUUUCUUAGAAGAAAAUUAGAAUUUAAAAGACAGUAGGAUUUGAACAUGCAGAGGUAAGGGAGAGGAAACUGGAAUGCCAUGAUUAAAAAUAUUGAAGCAAUAAAGUAUAAACCAGCUUAAUUAAAACAGAAGGAUCAUGGAGGAGAAUACUAGUAGUAUUAGGUAAGUUUGGUAAGGCAGGUUGGAAAAGAUUGGAGGAAAUUUAAAGGCCUAAUUUAUGAUUUAGUUAGUAGAUAGUAAAGAAUAUUUGAAGAUUUUUCAGUAUAGAAUAAGCUUAUAUAUGGUAAUACUAAUUUCCACUGCAUUUGCUAUGAAAAACUGAAUGAAGGUGAGGACUGGUGAUAGGGAUUAGACAGAUGAUACUCAAUAUUUUUAUGGAUAUAGAAGAACAGUAACACAUUAUUGGUAGUGUAAAUUGGUAUAACCAUUUUGGAAAACAAUUUGGCAUUAACUUUAAAAGUUGAAGAUAAUGGGCAGACUGUAUGUUCUAGAAAUUCUACCUUAGAUUAAACCCUAGAGACUGUUCAAAAAUAAUGUUGAAAACUCAUCUGUGUGUAAUAACAGAAUCAAUAAGAGAAAUUAAUGACAGCUAUACUUAGCAACAUGUAUGAAUGUAAAAAACAUGUUUAAUUAAAAAAAUAAGGUCACCAAAUAAGAAUUGUUUGAUACCAUUUAUAGCAAUUUCAAAAAAUAGAAUAUUUUAGGGAUAUGUAUAUGUGUAGUGCAAGACUAACGGGAAAAGAAGGACAAAGUUUGUGACAGAAGGGGAGGGAUAUGGAUAUGACUGGUAGAGGCACAUGGGGGGUGCCAAAAUAUGGUAAUGUUCGAAUUCUCCCCCCCCCCAUUAAAUUUAUUGGGGUGACAUUAUAUGGGUUUUAAGUGUACAUUUCUUUGAUACAUGAUCUAGAUAUUGCAUUGUGUGCCCACCACACAAAGUCAAAUCUACUUCUGUCACCAUAUAUUUGACCUCCUUUAUCCUCUACUACCUCCUCAACCCCUCCUUCUCUCUGGUGACCACUAUACUGUUGUUUGUGCCUAUGAGUUUCUGUUUGUUCUUGUAUGUUCAUUUGUUGUUCCCAGUUUUAUAUCCCACAUAUAGUGAAAUCAAAUGGUUCUUGACUUUUUCUGUCUGGUUUAUUUCACUUGGCAUGACAUUAUUGCAAAUGGCAGUAUUUCAUCUUUUAUGGCUGAGUAGUGUUCCAUUGUAUGUAUGUACCACAUCUUAUCCAGUCAUUUAUUGAGGGACACUUGGGUUGCUUCCAUGCAUUGGCCACAGUGAAUAACGCUGCAAUGAACGCGGGGCGUGUAUAUCACAGAUGCCUUUUUAAACCGUGACCUUCUGGUUCAUGGGCCAAAGCUCAACCACUUAGCCACAUGGGCUGGGCUAGAGGUGCAUUUAUCUUUGCAAGUAAAGGUUUUCAAACUUUUUGGGUAGGUACCCUGAAGAGAGGUUGCUGGGUCAUAUGGUAACUCUCUUCUUAAUGUUUUGAGGACCCUUCAUACUGUUUUCGGUGUUCAAAUUCUUAAUCUGCAUAUUGCAUUUUUUCUUUUAUCUUAACCUGUAUGAUUCAUACACACACACACACACACACACACACACACACACAUAUAUUUCUUUUGCAUGUAUGAAAUUUUCAUAAAUUAAGAAUUUCUCAUUAUGUCAUUGAGUGUAAUAGGAGAAAAAGAUUGAGGCUAUUUUAAAAAAUACUCUUUUUGCCGGAACCGGUUUGGCUCAGUGGAUAGAGCGUCGGCCUGCGGACUGAAAGGUCCCAGGUUCGAUUCCGGUCAAGGGCAUGUACCUGGGUUGCGGGCACAUCCCCAGUAGGAGAUGUGCAGGAGGCAGCUGAUCGAUGUUUCUCUCUCAUCGAUGUUUCUAACUCUCUAUCUCUCUCCCUUCCUCUCUGUAAAAAAUCAAUAAAAUGUAUUUUAAAAAAAAAAA